GGGUCCGGACAUACCGAGGAUUGACAGACAGUUAACUUGCCCUACCUAUAGGAGCUAGGUUCUAAACCUAAUAGCUCUUUCAUGAUUAUAUGAUAGGUGGUGCAUGGCCGUUCUUAGUUCGUGGAGUGAUCUGUCUGCUUAAUUGCGUUUCAAAUUCUAUUGUUGAGUACCAGGUCCUAAGAGUUUCAAGCAAAUCUGUCUCUGAGUGUGAACUGUAUGUCUUCGGAUAUGCGACUAUCGCUCUAGACAACUAUGAUCUGCUUGUAGCCUCUGGUACUCUUUUGAACGCAACGGACGUGAUUGCAACCCCUUGUUGAGUUUGCUUCUCUUAGGAACUCUACGUCUGCUGAACCACCUACCUUAGCGGGUAGGUGGUGAGGUGGAUAAACUCGGGGGACUGCUGACUAUAACCAUUUCUCAAAACAGAGGAAGGUUGCGGCAAUAACAGGUCUGUGAUGCCCUCAGAUGUCCCGGGCUGCACACGUGCUACAAUGAGUAGCGCAGUGUGCACAUUUUGAAGAGUGAUAGGUGCUGGGGAUUGUAUAUUUCAUGGGCUCGUCCUGGUAACCAACCGCCCCCAGCAUCUAUCAACCUUCCCUUUACAGGGUGGGUAACCUCUUCGAAAUGCUGGUUUGAUUCUCUUAGUGUUUGUCAUUUUAUUCCUCGUCGCA
rnacentral:rRNA from 1 species